rnacentral:rRNA from 1 species
UACGGAGGGUGCAAGCGUUAUCCGGAUUCACUGGGUUUAAAGGGUGCGUAGGAGGGCAGGUAAGUCAGUGGUGAAAUCUCCAAGCUUAACUUGGAACUGCCGUUGAUACUAUCUGUCUUGAAUACCGUGGAGGUGAGCGGAAUAUGUCAUGUAGCGGUGAAAUGCUUAGAUAUGACAUAGAACACCAAUUGCGAAGGCAGCUCGCUACACGAA